CCAGCCGGUUCUGGCGCCUUGGCAUCAGAGUCAGAACUCGCUCUGCCACCCCUCCACUAACCUCUCCCCCUUCCAGUGGGUACUGGGGUACCAGCCGGUUCUGGCGCCUUGGCAUCAGAGUCAGAACUCGCUCUGCCACCCCUCCACUAACCUCUCCCCCUUCCAGUGGGUACUGGGGUACCAGCCGGUUCUGGCGCCUUGGCAUCAGAGUCCGACCGAGGCUCCUGCGGUGGACGACUGGUUCAGGCUUGACUUCCGCCAAAGUUGAUUCCUCUCCUUGUUCGGGCGACGCUCGCCGGUCUUCUAGCCAUCGUCGAUCCACUUUUAAUUUUCCAUUUGUUUUGUCUUGUUUUUUUUUCUCAAUUCAAUUCAAUUCCCUUAUUUACUUGUUGUGUAUUUAACCCUCUUUUCCCCCCUCCCCAUGUCUUUGUGUGGGAAUGUUUAUUGUCGUGCUUGUGCACGUUCCUUGUGAGCGCACUACGGGUUAUUUUUGUGCCCAUUUACCUUGUUGUUCUGGAUGCCGUUGGUUUUGCUUAAUAAAUCUCCGGUUAUCACCCAGUUCUGCUCUUCCUGCGCCUGACUUCUCUGCCGCCAAUUACGUACCCCGCUACACCUUAUUGCCCAUUGAUGGAAUAAUGUGUGUAACGAAGUGUCUCUAGGAGGGAGGUUAUUGAUUAACUGUUGAACUGACUCUCUAUAGAGAAGGACAGAAGUGUCUCUAGAUGGAGGGAGGUUAUUGAUUAACUGUUGAACUGACUCUCUAUAGAGAAGAACAGAAGUGUCUCUAGAUGGAGGUUAUUGAUUAACUGUUGAACUGACUCUCUAUAGAGAAGAACAGAAGUGUCUCUAGAUGGAGGUUAUUGAUUAACUGUUGAACUGACUCUCUAUAGAGAAGAACAGAAGUGUCUCUAGAUGGAGGUUAUUGAUUAACUGUUGAACUGACUCUCUAUAGAGAAGAACAGAAGUGUCUCUAGAUGGAGGUUAUUGAUUAACUGUUGAACUGACUCUCUAUAGAGAAGAACAGAAGUGUCUCUAGAUGGAGGUUAUUGAUUAACUGUUGAACUGACUCUCUAUAGAGAAGGACAGAAGUGUCUCUAGAUGGAGGUUAUUGAUUAACUGUUGAACUGACUCUCUAUAGAGAAGAACAGAAGUGUCUCUAGAUGGAGGUUAUUGAUUAACUGUUGAACUGACUCUCUAUAGAGAAGAACAGAAGUGUCUCUAGAUGGAGGUUAUUGAUUAACUGUUGAACUGACUCUCUAUAGAGAAGGACAGAAGUGUCUCUAGGAGGGAGGUUAUUGAUUAACUGUUGAACUGACUCUCUAUAGAGAAGUACAGAAGUGUCUCUAGGAGGGAGGUUAUUGAUUAACUGUUGAACUGACUCUCCUACCGAUCCUCGACUUCGGCGAUGCCAUCUACAAAAUUGCUUCCAACACUCUACUCAGCAAACUGGAUGCAGUUUAUCACAGUGCCAUCCGUUUUGUCACUAAAGCACCUUAUACCACCCACCACUGCGACUUGUAUGCUCUAGUCGGCUGGCCCUCGCUACAUAUUCGUCGCCAGACCCACUGGCUCCAGGUCAUCUACAAGUCCAUGCUAGGUAAAGCUCCGCCUUAUCUCAGUUCACUGGUCACGAUGGCAACACCCAUCCGUAGCACGCGCUCCAGCAGGUGUAUCUCACUGAUCAUCCCUAAAGCCAACACCUCAUUUGGCCGCCUUUCGUUCCAGUUCUCUGCUGCCUGUGACUGGAACGAAUUUCAAAAAUCGCCAAAUUCGCCAAAAAUCGCCAAAUUCAAACAUCUGCUAUCUGAGCAGCUAACCGAUCGCUGCAGCUGUACAUAGUCUAUCGGUAAAUAGCCCACCCAUUUUUACCUACCUCAUCCCCAUACUGUUUUUAUGUAUUUACUUUUCUGCUCUUUUGCACACCAAUAUCUCUACCUGCACAUGACCAUCUGACCAUUUAUCACUCCAGUGUUAAUCUGCAAAAUUGUAAUUAUUCGCCUACCUCCUCAUGCCUUUUGCACACAAUGUAUAUAAACUCCCCUUUUUUUUCUCUUCCUGUGUUAUUGACUUGUUAAUUGUUUACUCCAUGUGUAACUCUGUGUUGUCUGUUCACACUGCUAUGCCUCAUCUUGGCCAGAUCGCAGUUGCAAAUGAGAACUUGUUCUCAACUAGCCUACCUGGUUAAAUAAAGGUGAA